UACGGAGGGUGCAAGCGUUAUCCGGAUUUACUGGGUUUAAAGGGUGUGUAGGCGGGCUAGUUAAGUCAGUGGUGAAAUCUCCGGGCUCAACCCGGAAACUGCCAUUGAUACUAUUAGUCUUGAAUUUUGUUGAGGUAGGCGGAAUAAGUCAUGUAGCGGUGAAAUGCAUAGAUAUGACUUAGAACACCAAUUGCGAAGGCAGCUUACUAAGCAAAUAUUGACGCUGAGGCACGAAAGCGUGGGGAUCAAACAGG
rnacentral:rRNA from 1 species